GGAGAUAGGUGAGAAGCUGUACGUACUCGCGUGUAGAACAUCGACAUCUUGAACGCAUAUUGCGGCCGUAGCUCCGUCUAUGGCCACGCCUGUCCGAGGGUCGGCUUAUAAACUAUCACGACGCUCAACAAGUCGUGGAUUGGAAGGCUGCCAGCCGGUAGUCCAACUAUGCUUUGUGGCAUGGUGUCCGUCGCAUGAGUGAGGUUACACAGACGGCAUGCAUGUAAGAAGUAUGGUUUUACCGGAUCUAUGGCUCCUUUCUAAGUUGCCCUGCUGUAGACUGAUGGUAGAUGACCAUUGGCGUGGAAUGUACAGGGUCGUGGUUCAGUGGUUCAGUAUAUAUUGGUAUGUCUGACUCACGCCCUGUUCUUCUUACGUGGUUGUUUUGCCGUUGUCGAUCAGUUAGGGAGUCCUUGGUCCAUUGGAUCAUACGACUCACCCACCUUCCUGACCUCGGAUCAGACGUGAAUACCCGCUGAACUUAAGCAUAUCACUAAGCGGAGGA
rnacentral:rRNA from 1 species